rnacentral:rRNA from 1 species
AUGUGUAAGAUCGGUAUAGUCUGGUUCGGUCAGAACAUUGCUAAUCUGUGGAAAGCUCAUUAAACAAGUUAUGAAUUUAGCCACCUGGUUCUUCAAGGAAUAACACUGUCAACUGCAGCGAUAAUGCCUAGAAAAUCGGUUAACGCCGAGAACAUUAGGGUCUGGGUGAAUCCGCCUAUUUCGGGACUUGUUCCCUGUUGACCAUCGAGUCUGAGAGUUUAAGAUUCGGCUGUAAGGCUUGUUUCAUAGCUUUAUUGGUGGCCGGGAAGAUAUGUUUCUAAUCUAUCAGCCUGGAGGUUGGGUAAGGUCCAACCUUGGCUUUUACGGAUACAGGGGAUUGGUGUCCAACACUGGAGAGAGAGCCUGAGAAACGGCUAUCACAUCUAAGGACGGCAGCAGGCGCGUAAAUUACCCAAUUUUAAUUCAAAGAGGUAGUGACAAGACGUAGCGACUUUACACCAAAUGGUGGAAAGGUACCACUCUGUGGUUUGAAAUGGAUGGAAGUUAAAUGUCUCUAUGAGUAGCAAUUAGAGGGCAAGUCUGGUGCCAGCAGCCGCGGUAAUUCCAGCUCUAAAAGUGUAUAUUAAUACUGUUGUAGUUAAAACGCCCGUAGCGAACCCAAGAGGUAUCUUUGCCAGCCUGAUCAUGUAGCCAUGUCGUUCGUACCCUAACCGGUACUGCGUGUGGUAAAAGUGAUCCUCGGUUCUUAGCGGUUUGGAGCAAAAGCACACCGGCCGUGACGGAAUAGGUUUGGUUGGUAUUUGGUACUUCGCUCUUGUUCCACUUCGGUGGAGCAACCUAUUGGAGCAACCGUAAACAAAUCAGCGUGUUCAAAGCAGGCUAUGUAGUGGGUAACCCAUAUGCUUGAAUGAUUUAGCAUGGAAUUGCCUAAAGAUUACUUUCGGGUAGUCGCUAGUAAUGAGACACAGGAAGAGGUCUCCUAGUACUAUGGGGCGAGAGGUGAAAUUCAGUGACCACCAUAUGACUAUCUAAUGCGAAAGCAGUUGUGAGCCAGUACGUGUCUGUCAGUCAGGGACGAAAGUUGAGGGAUCGAAGAUGAUUAGAUACCGUCGUAGUCUCAACCGUAAACGAUACCAACACGAGAUUGGUAAUGAAACCAUUUAUAGAUCUUUUCAGAAUCCAAGGGAAACCGUUAAGUCUUUGGGUUCUGGGGGGAGUAUGGUCGCAAGGCUGAAACUUAAAGGAAUUGACGGAAAGGCACCACCAGGAGUGGAGUAUGCGGCUUAAUUCGACUCAACGCGGGGAAACUCACCAGGUUAGGAUGUGAAUAUGAUUGACAGAUUGAAGUUCUUUCUUGAUUUUACAGAAGGUGGUGCAUGGUCGUUCUUAGUUCGUGGAGUGAUUGCUCUUGUUAAUUCAGAUAACGAGCGAGACCUUAUCUUGCUAAUUAGGUGGAAGGGGGGUUUACCUACCCAUAUAUCAAUCGGACCCUGUAAAGGGCCAAUAGAUUUUCCAUAAAUCCAACCUUCGGGGAGGAUAACAUCUUAGAGGUACAGCACCCUCGGGGUAGGGUGAGGAAGUGUAAGGCAAUAACAGAUCUGUGAUGCCCUUAGAUAUCCUGGGCCGCACGCGUACUACAAUAUUCUUAGCAAUAGGUAACGUAUAGUCUGCUUCGGCAGCAACCCUUAUCGGAAACGAAUGGGAAAUCCUUUAAAGAAGUAAUAUGACUGGGAUUGAGGUUUGGAAGAUCCUCAUGAACGAGGAAUUCCUAGUAAGCAUGAUUCAUCAAGUCGUUGGCUUAGUCCC